rnacentral:miRNA from 1 species
AUCCAGGUCUGGGGCUUGAACCUGGCAUACAAUGUAGAUUUCUGUGUUUAUUAGGCAACAGCUACAUUGUCUGCUGGGUUUCAGGCUACCUGGAA